rnacentral:rRNA from 1 species
AUUGAACGCUGGCGGCAGGCCUAACACAUGCAAGUCGAACGAGUGGCGGACGGGUGAGUAAUGUCUGGGAAACUGCCUGAUGGAGGGGGAUAACUACUGGAAACGGUAGCUAAUACCGCAUACCAUCGGAUUUGCCCAGAUGGGGUUAGCUAGUAGGUGGGGUAAAGGCUCACCUGGGCGACGAUCCCUAGCUGGUCUGAGAGGAUGACCAGCCACACGGGAAAUGAGACACGGUCCAGACUCCUACGGGGGGAGGCAGUGGGGAAUAUUGGACAAUGGGCGCAAGCCUGAUGCAGCCAUGCCGCGUGGAGGAAGAAGGCCUUCGGGUUGUAAAUUACGUUCAGCGGGGAGGCGUUACCCGAAGAAGAAGCACCGGCUAACUCCGUGCCAGCAGCCGCGGUAAUUC